rnacentral:rRNA from 1 species
UGCGCAGGCGGGACUGCAAGUUGGAUGUGAAAUACCGAGGCUCAACCUCGGGGCUGCAUCCAAAACUGUAGUUCUUGAGUGGAGUAGAGGCAAGCGGAAUUCCGAGUGUAGCGGUGAAAUGCGUAGAUAUUAGGAGGAACACCAGUGGCGAAGGCGGCUUUCUGGACGAUGUCUGACGCUGAGGCGCGAAAGCUAGGGGAGCGAACG